CCAUGGGAGUGGGUUGCAAAAGAAGUAGGUAGCUUAACCUUCGGGAGGGCGCUUACCACUUUGUGAUUCAUGACUGGGGUGAAGUCGUAACAAGGUAACCGUAGGGGAACCUGCGGUUGGAUCACCUCCUUACCUUAAAGAA
rnacentral:rRNA from 2 species